GAUGAACGCUGGCGGCGUGCCUAAUACAUGCAAGUCGAGCGAACAGAUGAGGAGCUUGCUCCUCUGACGUUAGCGGCGGACGGGUGAGUAACACGUGGAUAACCUACCUAUAAGACUGGGAUAACUUCGGGAAACCGGAGCUAAUACCGGAUAAUAUAUUGAACCGCAUGGUUCAAUAGUGAAAGACGGUUUUGCUGUCACUUAUAGAUGGAUCCGCGCCGCAUUAGCUAGUUGGUAAGGUAACGGCUUACCAAGGCGACGAUGCGUAGCCGACCUGAGAGGGUGAUCGGCCACACUGGAACUGAGACACGGUCCAGACUCCUACGGGAGGCAGUAGUAGGGAAUCUUCCGCAAUGGGCGAAAGCCUGACGGAGCAACGCCGCGUGAGUGAUGAAGGUCUUCGGAUCGUAAAACUCUGUUAUUAGGGAAGAACAAAUGUGUAAGUAACUAUGCACGUCUUGACGGUACCUAAUCAGAAAGCCACGGCUAACUACGUG
rnacentral:rRNA from 1 species